AAAAUCCUACCUAUCGGCCCCGUGCCGCCGUCGCUGCCGCCGCGCUCGCUGGCUGGCCCGGUGCGGGCGCCGGGCUCCUGCCACAGGAGAGAACCACCAGCGCCACCACCACCACUUCGGCCCGGGCCCGGGCACCGGCCCCGCCCCGGGCCCCGGCCUGAGCCCCCCACCCGGCCGGGCGAUGGAGUGUCACUACGAGGCGCUGGGGGUGCGGCGCGACGCCAGCGAGGAGGAGCUCAAGAAGGCCUAUCGGAAGCUGGCCCUGAAAUGGCACCCGGAUAAAAAUCUGGAUAAUGCCGCAGAAGCAGCUGAACAAUUUAAACUAAUCCAAGCAGCGUAUGAUGUGCUAAGCGACCCUCAGGAAAGAGCAUGGUAUGAUAAUCAUAGAGAGGCUCUGCUUAAAGGUGGGCUUGCUGGAGAGUAUCAAGAUGACAGCUUAGAUUUGCUUCACUAUUUCACUGUGACCUGUUACUCUGGUUAUGGAGAUGAUGAAAAGGGCUUUUAUACAGUGUAUCGUAAUGUUUUUGAAAUGAUUGCCAAGGAAGAACUAGAAUCUUCUUUAGAAGAGGAUGUUGAGGAUUUCCCAACUUUUGGAGACUCCCAGAGUGACUAUGAUACGGUAGUCCAUCCUUUCUACGCUUAUUGGCAGAGUUUCUGCACUCAGAAGAACUUUGCUUGGAAAGAAGAAUAUGAUACACGACAGGCUUCAAACCACUGGGAGAAACGAGCCACGGAAAAAGAGAACAAAAAGAUUCGAGACAAAGCAAGGAAAGAGAAGAAUGAGCUUGUCCGUCAGCUCGUAGCUUUCAUUCGUAAAAGAGAUAGAAGAGUGCAGGCUCAUCGAAAACUUGUGGAAGAACAGAACGCAGAGAAGGCGAGGAAAGCCGAAGCAAUGAGGCGGCAGCAGAAGCUAAAGCAGGCCAAACUGGCAGAGCAGUACAAAGAGCAGAGCUGGAUGACGGUGGCCGAUUUGGAGAAGGAGCUCAGGGAGAUGGAGGCGCAGUAUGAAAAGGAGUUUGGAGAUGGAUCAGGUGAAGAUGAAGCGGAAGAACGGGAACUCCAAGACGGACAGGAUGGUAAAGAUGGUGACGAGGCUGAGGAUGCAGAACUUUAUGAUAGCCUUUACUGCCCAGCAUGUGACAAAUCUUUCAAGACGGAAAAGGCCAUGAGGAAUCAUGAAAAAUCAAAGAAGCAUCGGGAAAUGGUUGCCUUGUUAAAACAACAGUUGGAGGAGGAGGAAGCAAAUUUUUCAGGACCUCAAACUGAUGAAAACAGUCUGGAUGCCAAUUCUGAGGAAGAAAUGGAGGAUGCACCAAAACAAAAACUUUCUAAAAAACAGAAGAAAAAGAAACAGAAACCAGCACAGAAUUAUGAUGAUAAUUUCAAUGAAAAUGUAACUGGAGAAGCAGUAAAGGUUGAUCCAGAAGAUAACAGCCUAAAUCAAGGCAGUGCCAAAGGAUUGGAAGAUAGUCCCCAGGAAAAUGUCAGUGUUACAGAGACUGUGGAACGGUGUGAUGACCCCAAAAGUGAAGCUAAAAGUGUUUCUAAACCCAAAGGAAAGAAAGCCAAAGAUACUAAAAAAUCUGUCAGAGUACCUGCUGAACUACAGACAGUGAAUGAUGUUCUUAUCAGCUGUACAACCUGCCAUAGUGAAUUUCCAUCCCGGAAUAAACUUUUUGACCAUCUAAAGGCCACAGGUCAUGCAAGAGCACCUUCAUCAUCAUCUUUAAACAGUGUAACAGAUAGUCGAAGCAAAAAAGAGAAACGUAAAAACAGAUAGAAAUCCUGCCAAUGCUUUUUCUUUUUGAUUGUCUCUAGAUUUUGACACCAAAAACUGAACUGAAAUCAUCUAAAGAGUUAAAAUUUCAGUCAUCUGCAAUUUAUUGCAUUGUGGGAGAUUAUUUUUAUCUUGUAGAAACGUUUUUUUGUUUAAUAUAU